rnacentral:rRNA from 1 species
AGCGAACGCUGGCGGCAGGCUUAACACAUGCAAGUCGAGCGGGCCCUUCGGGGUCAGCGGCAGACGGGUGAGUAACGCGUGGGAACGUGCCCUUCGGUUCGGAAUAACUCAGGGAAACUUGAGCUAAUACCGGAUACGCCCUUAUGGGGAAAGGCUUGCUGCCGAAGGAUCGGCCCGCGUCUGAUUAGCUAGUUGGUGAGGUUAUGGCUCACCAAGGCGACGAUCAGUAGCUGGUCUGAGAGGAUGAUCAGCCACACGGGGACUGAGACACGGCCCAGACUCCUACGGGAGGCAGCAGUGGGGAAUAUUGGACAAUGGGGGCAACCCUGAUCCAGCCAUGCCGCGUGAGUGAUGACGGCCUUAGGGUUGUAAAGCUCUUUUCUCCGGGACGAUAAUGACGGUACCGGAGGAAUAAGCCCCGGCUAACUUCGUG